rnacentral:lncRNA from 1 species
UUUGAUUCAUUUCACGAAUUAAUGGUUUCAGUUUAACAAGAUGAAAUACGUGCAGUAGUAUUCAAGUUAAGAGAAAUAGCAAGCUAGGGUUAUGUCCACCUUGUAGUUUUCAAUACUUUCUAACUAUGGGCUUUAUGAAUUCAUACAUGCAUCGUGCUUACAGAGAAACAUAUUGUAUUUAAUAACAUAAUCCAAGUGUUUCUCAACCAUCAAGGACUAAUUCACUUUAGUUCUCUCGAAUCAAAACCGUUAACCAAAAACAUUACGAAAUCUCUAAGUAGUUAAUCCUGUUAAGGCCUUAACAUUUGAAAUAGGGGUUGGAAAUCCUAUUUUCUUGUCACUACUCUCUUUUCCGAACAUCAACCUUUCUUUCGAAUAAGUUGUGUUUUAAUGCAUAAUGAAUUCAGAACCCAAAGUGAUAGAUUGUAUGAUACAAGGCUUCCAUAACCCUAACUAAUAAACUUAUCUACUUAUGGGUAAAAUAGAAAUCACAAUAGAAAUAUUCAUCAUACCAAAAACUAGAACGAUCUUGGUGGAGAAGAUGAAUGGCAUUUUUCCUUCUGUGUAAGCAUCCUAUCUCCUCUCUCAAAAUAAUACAAAAUAAUGAAUAAUAAAUAAAAAUUCAGCAUUAAACCUUUGAAUAAUCUUUUUUCACAUAAUUUCUUUCUAAGUGCCUGCACUAAUUAUAAAUGAAAAACUAGUGUUGGACAUAGUUUUUAGGCACCACAUUUGGUCCAGACUGCUACUCUCUCUUGUGUCAUAUGCCAUCCACAUUGUAUAGUCCUAUUAUGUCUUCAUCUACUACAUUAAUGCCUGAAAUUAUGCUAAUCACAUUGGUUAUCUCAAUUACAUAGAAGUAGAGUAAAAACAUAAGAAACUAGGCACUUUGUUCUUCAAACUUAGCUAAAAUAUGGAUAAGUUUUGGUGUUUAGGCGUAUAAAUAAUCAAAAGAUCACCACCCCACACUUAAAGCAUUUGUCGUCCUCUAACAAAAUAUCCAUUUAUGCAUACUGCACACGUCAUAGCACCCAAAAACGAAGACAAGAUGCUCAAAUAGGCUCACACAACAAUUAUGACCAAGAACUAGAUUCAGGAAUCAUUACUAGAGACAACCUACCCUCAAGAAUAAAC